rnacentral:tRNA from 2 species
GCCUCAGUAGCUCAGAGGCAGAGCGCUUGACUUGUAAUCAAGAGCGCGCGGGUUCAAGUCCCGCCUGGGGCU